AUAUUUGAGCAUACAACCCUGAGUUUGUUUCUAAUAUAUAUAAAAUUUUAUAAAGCUUCUAAAACAAAUGGUUUUUUUUUAACAAGAAUGGAUUUCUAAAAAGAGACAUGUAAAAGAUUACAUAUAGUAAUAUGAUUAACUAGAUGAUUCUAGUUUUUAAAAAUGACUACAAUAUAAAAAGCAACUUGAUGGAAUGUGAUAGAAGAUAAAUUAUGUUAUAAAAUAAAAAUAUAACCCACAUGGUUUCCAUGUUUAAAAUGAAAACACGCAUGAAGCAAAAAUUAAGUGAAUGGAAUGUUGCACUAAAGUAACAAAAUAUAGAUAAAAUAUAUACAGGUAUCAUGGUUUGAUUAACAACCGUACAUGCUUAAUUUUUCAAUGUAAGAAUACACAGCACCAAAACUAUAGUAAAAAUGCAGUGUACUACUUUCUUUAUAAAACUUGUGUCUUUAUAGGGGAAUCUGAUGGAAUGCAUAGCACCAUAUAACAGUUAGCACCAAAACUAUAGUAAAAAUGUAGUGUACUACUCUCUUUAUAAAACUUGUCUUUAAAGGGGAAUCUGGCGGAAUGCAUAGCACCAUAAAACAGUUAGCACCAAAACUAUAGUAUAAGCACUACUUUUUUUUUUAUAAAACUUGUCUUUAUAGAGUAUAUUUUCCUCUCUUAAACUAUCAUUGUAAAUGAAUAUAGUAAAUAUAUAUAACAGCAUGUUAUCAGGAGUACAACUAUCAUGAUUUGAAAUAUGAACUUUAAUGAUUAUCACAAUUAUUUAGCACCAACUUUAAAACAAUUAACAUUUAAUAAAUUAUCACAACUAUAUUGCUUAAUAACAAGAAAAACAAAGACUAUAUACAUGUUUUAUAUUACAGUAUAAACAUUUCAUAUACUACUAAGGUCUGUCUAAUGUUCCCCAUCAACCUCUAUAGCAUUUUUGAUAUUUUUACAUUAUUUUUAAGACCAAAUAAACGUUAUCUUUUAAUCUGAUAGAUCAUAUCAGAUAAUUCCUCUGAUGUAAAGCUUCAUAAAUAUUUUGAUUUUCUUCCUUUAGAAGUUAUCAUACUGUGUAAUUACUAAACAUUUUUAAUUACAAUCAAGCCUCAAGCUAAAUAACUGUUGAUAGAUAAACAUGUAUAACAAUCUUUAAAUGUAGAGUAUAGGAAAUUGUCUUAAUUGCAAUCAAGUUUCAAAACUGAUUAACUGUUAAUGGAGAACAUCAGACAGAUAAACAUAUAUUACUUCUAAUUUGAGUUAAACUUCUUCUUAACAUAACAAAACAGACUUGUGUAAACAUAUACAAAACUUCUAGAUAUGUAUAAUAUAAACAACACCCUUUGAAGUAACAUCAUUUCAAAAAUCUGACUUAUUCCCUAUUUUCAUCAUAAAAAAAAAAAAAAAAUUUAAAAAGAGAAAUUAAGCGAAAAAUGUAUCAAUUUAUCUAUAAUUUAUAAUCAUGUCAAACACAGGAUGUUGAGUCUUUCUUAUGUAUAGAAAAUUAUCACUCUCCUUUGUUAAAACCUUCAAUAAUAAAAAAAAAAAAGCCCCCUCAAUAAACUUCUUAAGAUAAUAUAGCAUAGAAAUGCUAAUAUCUCCUUUGUCAUCACAAUGGAUGCUUAGUCAUAUAUAAAUUAAUCCUAAAAUGGCAUCUCAGUUAAGUCUAAAUGAAUUAAAUUUAUCAACCCAACUUUAUUUAAUGAAUCUUAUCAUAACCAAGAGAGAAGAAUAAGUCCUUUAAUAUUUAGGAAAAAUGUUAUACUUUCAUUCUAUUUAGAAAACUUUAUGAUGGAUCAUCGUGCUUCAAUCAGUAACUUUCUUUCUCAAUUGACUAAUUUUGUAUCUCAACAUAUACCAGUAGUGGGAAGUCAUUUUUUCCCAUGUUAUAAGUGUUCAAUACAACCUGAGUUGUUUGAAGAAAUAAAGAAUUGGUAUUGUCACCAACCCAUCAACACAUUCAGUAGCAUGCAAUUUAAUGUUUCUGCACUAUAUCAUGCUUUGUUGCAUGAAAGCAGGGAAACUAGGAUAGGAUGUCUCAUACGAAUGAGCGAGACAUUUUUGGGAGAACUGAUGCAGCAGUGCAAUACAGCUAAUAGUGUGCAAAGCCGAGACAUGCUGCAGAUAGGAUUAGAUAUCUUAAAGGACAGAAUACAUCACCACAAUGCAAUGGUUAUGUUUAAGUAGGGAUUCUCUUUGCCCUAUAGGUGAAAACCCACCUGUUGAUGGUCAGGGAGAGUGCUGGACAUUUGGCUGUGCUCGUACACUACUGAUGUUGGAGCGCUUUGAGACCGUUCUGUCGAGGAGUCAGGAGAACCCCCCCUCCGUAUGAGGAGAGGUCUCAACCGCACCAGUAGUGGAAACAAGGUCUUCCAGUGACUGUAAACAAAAACAAUAAUAUUUAUAGACAGUUAUCAAAUUUAAUAUUUAUAGUUUUUAACACAAAUCUGUUUAAUAGAAAUACAAUUAAAAUUAUGCUAACAAAUA